AGAGGCGGGAUAUGACAAUAAGACGAGAAGACCCUAUGGAGCUUUAAUAAACCAGCCCAAAGAGAUCUUAAUAACCAACCGACAGGGUAUAACAAACCUCUACCAUGGGCUGACAAUUUAGGUUGGGGUGACCUCGGAGAAUAAAACAACCUCCGAGUGAUUUAAAUCUAGACUAACCAUUCAAAAUUAUUACAUCACUUAUU
rnacentral:rRNA from 1 species